GCUGAGCUGUUGUCUAGCUAAUUCAGAGGAUUGUUAAAGUAGGAUGAGGCAUACCUUAACAUUUAAAUUUAUCAGGCAUUUUCUCUAACUGGAAUUUUCUGUCCCACUUAUAUGAGAAAGAGACAAUUACAAGAAGAAUCUUUCUUGUCGUGGAGUUAAUAUAUACAUUUCCCAGUGUCCCUGCAUCUCUGUAAUGAAGUUACUAAGCAGGGGAACACCCUGUUGUGGUAGACGGGGCAGUGGGUCUGCGGGCUAACAGGCCAGGCCUGACUCUGCGCUCAUUCAGCUGCUGGUCCUUGACAGCCACCUGGAAUCUCUCACUUCCAGGUCCUGUCUGUGUAAAUGAGGGGGUUGGAUGAGAUUGGCUAUAGUUUCCUACGUCUAAGAUCCUGGGAUUCAGAGAUAACUGAUGUCAUGUGAAAGCAUACAAGGAGGGUGGUUUUCUUGCUGAAAUAGCCUUUAUAUUUAGAAAGUUUCCAACAUGUUUUAAGUGAAGCAGGGAUUUUUCUGGCUAACCAAGUUUUUAUGGUAUUGGUUUUGGUAUUAAUACAAUUGCUAAACUGAUAAAACUUCAAAGAUCUUAUUACAUACAAUUAUUAUCACAAUUCUGGGCAAUUUAUUAACACGUUCUAGAUGCCAGAUGUUUUUAAAGAUAGUACUUUGUUUUUCAUCUUCACAUCCCACUAGGAUGGAUAACUUUCAAGUAGUCUCGGGGGAUUUUUGUGACUGUUUUUGACUCGGUCUUUCCAAAAGAUCUGAAAAAGCUAUAACAAAUCUGUUUUAAACAGAUUUUUUAAAGAAAAAAUACAGUCUCUUCAAAAUACAGCCUUGAAUUCAUCUUUGAGGUCCUUGUGGAUUCUCUCACAUGAAAUAAAACUCAAGACCCGUAUUAACUCGAGGACCCUCUAAUGAAAUGCAGCUUACUGGGACUGCUCUGAAACAGAGUAGGGGUGCAGAAGAAAGGUAAAAGACGGUAUCAGAGACAUUCCAGGUUUUUCCUUUUCAAGAAACUUACGUGCUGUCAAAAGACACUGCCGAGGCAGACCAACCAGUUCAGGCAAUGAAACAUUACCUCCAGGGAGUCCCAGUACCUCCCAGGAAGCCUCUCUUCCUCGCAGGUUAAAUAAGUUCGGGGUGAGGAAAAGGAAUGUACUGACCGAAAAGUUCUCUUGUGUCUUGAAAGGUACCUUAGCAGCAAGAGAUGGUGAAAUGUUAAUUUUUGUCUUUCGUAACCUGACGGUGAGUAAGUACUUGCUCUGUUUGCUGAGGAGAGCUGGCAUCUGACAUUGCUGGGCUGCAUCUUUUUUCUUUCUUAAAAUCAAAUAAUAAACCCACUGGAGAAAACAACUUGACAAAGCCCAGACAUUGUAAAUGUGACACAAUGUUUCUGUUCACCUCACUUACUCUCCUCUGAGUCCAGUUCGUUCAAGGCACACUGAUGGGCCGGGAGGACCAGAGAGCUGCAGAAGAUGCAGGGUAUCCCACAUGUCAGGGCAUCGCAGUGCAGGCUGAAGCCCGUGAUGCAUUUGGCUCUGCCUCAGUCAUGGCAAAGAAAGGGGUAUGAGGAACCAGCCAUUUACAUGAGAUAAGUUAAGGGUAAGGGGAUCAUAAUCCCUCAAAUACAGCCACAUAGCCAAAGAUUUCCUGACAAGCGCCAGGAGAGAGACAGGAAUCCUUCUGUGACUAAACCUUUGCACCAGAGGAUUUUUCCAGUAGCACUGGAACUGCAAAAUUGUAUCUGAAUUUUCCAAAGGGACCUUAGGAAUGUAUAUCAUAUUAAUUGGAAUGGUGCUUUCAUGAGUCCCGGAAGAAGGUAAGGUUUUCGGCAGUAUGCAGAGGAGAGUGGCCCCUAGGCCCCCUGCAUGAGGGAUAUCAUCGGUCCUUGAGUCCUGGCUCUGGACCAGAGAGCCACACUUGACAGAAUAGGCAUUUCCUAGCAAGUUAUAUUGAGAUAAAAUGGUCUUUGAUCAAUUUGUUGCUGAAAGAUAUUUUAAUAGGUUUGGGUAAGUUUUGUUGGCUUUCUUACCGCUCUAUAUUGUAUUGUUAGAAUUCAGUUAGGUUGUCCAAAAUCCUUGCUGGGAGGGAAGAAGAGGGGAGGACGGAAGGAAGGGAGGGAAGGAGGGAAGAAAUAAUUCGGUGGGGAGAAAGGAAACUCAAACAAAUUCUUACUUUAAAAAUGAUAUUGUGGGGUACAGAUUUACUAAGGCAGGUACCAGUAAUAUGUUUAUUUUAUUUCUCAAAAACAGAUUAUAACUAGAGAAGAAAACAAGAAAAAAAUCAGUGUCUUUAAUAUCUUUGCAAUACCAAAUGAAACUUCAUAAUUUAUGUAUAUCUUCAUACUCAGAAAUUUUUCAUAAUAAAUUCCUAAAUCCUACCUCAUUCUUUUUGAACAUGCAAAAUAUUCAGAAUCCCAUGGAGGGUGGGUAGAGAUAUACAUUAAUUUUUAAAUUAAUUCUGAGGACUGGAAAUAAAAAUAAGUGGUUUUCCAAUGUGACAGGGACUAUUCUAAGGUGAUCAGUGACAAAUGACUGUCCCCACCAUCAGCAGCCAUAACAUUAUGCUCCUUUUCAGAAUACUUACUACUCUUCUAAUGUGUUUAAUAACAUGGCUCUUCUCUUAAUGCAUUUUCCCUGCCAGAUUAUGAGCUCCUUGAGAACAGAAACUGCCUAACUUGUUCACCACUGUUCUGCACCAAAAGCAGUGAUGAGCUGAUGGUAGACGUUGGGUGACUGGGUGGAUGGCUGGAUGGCUGAUGCCGUGCAGCGGGGUGAGAGGUAGACCUGAGAAUAACACACUACCUUAGACCCUGCUGAGCACACUGGGAUGGCUGUGAGCAGCUGGAGGCACGAGCCCCGGCUCUCGUGAGUGUGUGCUCACACUCGCUGGUGUAUCACCGGUGUCCAUACAUUGAAGGCCCAGUCUGUAGCCUGAAGUGAACACUAUGAGUACUUCCUGAACUUUCCCCAGAACUUGUCCCAGCACCAAUGGGAAUAAACCUGUACCCCCUGGAAUCUGGGGCCUCCAAAGUCUCAUUCUAACUUUGUCAUUUUAUGAAAACGUGAUAGUUUUUGUAAGAUGCCAUUUUUUGCCUUCAUUUGAGAUUAUUUUCCCAUCCUUUGGGUCGUGCAUUGUUAAGCAGCCCAUGGUCUUGUUGUACCAUGGCAAAUCUCUGCGUGACCCAGGGAGUCCCUGUGCCCUGCAUGAGAACCACAGCAUGAAGAUGUUGUCCACAAAGUAUUACUGCUGACGUGAAAAUGCUGCAGUUGGGAAGGGUCAUAUAAACCCCCAUUAAUGCAGACUCUCUUUAUUUGAUUCCCUUUUUCACCCAGCGGAGAACAGUCCCCUGACUGAGAAUGGGAUGGAAAUGGGAGGGUUUGAUGAUGGAAAGAGGAAAACACUCCAAACUGCCUAGAAGUGAAGGUCUGGUCGGGCCAGCUUGUGGGUCCCAGAUGACAGCGAAUAGGGGCAGACAGGACAGAGACAUUGGACAAGGAGGAAGAAAUCAGAACUGGGAUGAAAAGAGUCCUUCGCCAAGGCUGUUCAAGGCCAUGGGAUGAUGACAGAGAUGCCUUUGGAUAUGUGUAAGGAAUUACCCAUUUACUUCUGCAAACAUUUGUUGAGUACUUGUUAUGGGUUAGACUCUGUGCUUAGCACUAGAAAAUCAAGAGACAAGUAGUAUUUGCAGUCCAGUGAGGUUGGAGACCCAUAAAAGAUAAAUGUAAUAAGAUCUCUCCUGGGUAGAAACACAGGUGGCAGCAAAGAGUGCCAGAUGGCCCAGAAUGGGGAGUUCAAGGGAGGCUUCCUGGAGGAGGUGAUGCCUAGAGGACAAGUAGAGACUGAUUAUGUACUGCUUAAUGGUAGAUUCAGUGGGGUCUUUUUUUUUUCACCUUUGGUUAGGUUUCCUUCUGAUCCCCAACCCCCAUUAGGGGCCAGCUCAUGCUUUAAAUAUAGAAGGUGCUCAGCAAAUGCGUCUAAAUGGAGAGAAACCAAAACCAAGCAAAGAAAAAUCUAAAUCUCUUUUUCUCCCUCCCUUCUCUCCCCACACACAGACAUUAAAAGCUAUGUAGGUACAUCAUUUAUUCUGAUUAGUGCGCUGCUAACUGGAGGGAUGGGAGAUAAUACCGUAAAAGGACAGAGAGCAAGGUUUCAGGCAGGUUUUGGCUCCGACAUCCCAGCUGGAAUGCAGUUUGAACUAUAUUUAUCGAGUAUGAGGAGAAAAGAAUUGCAGGGAAAAGAAUUGCACUUCCUCUCUUAAUUACAGUUAGGAGGGGGUUUUCUCCCUUCAGUGACUCCAUGGUCAUUCUUUCUUCUCCUUCCAUUUAUGAGGCUCUUUUGCUUGACUCAUCAGGCAGUUUGUGAACUCAUGAAAGCAGACUCCUCCCAGGGGAUGCAUGCUGGAAGAUACCGAGAGGGAAGCGGGGCCCCUAGAGAUUGCCCUGGAACCCAAACCACCCUAAAUGGAGCCGGAAGGUCUGUCAAUUCCCCGAGAGCAACGAGGAAAUGUUGGACUACAACCCUGCUAGGCUUGGCUGGACUCCAGGCUCAGAUAUCCAAGUUGUCCACUGCAGGACUUGCCUCCAGGCUUCAGGUCAAGUUCAGAGAAGAGAAAGUUGCCCACUCUGCCAGCGCCUUUGUCAGCUGCCAGCUGUUACUUCCCUGGAAAAAGGGUCAGGAGGCUGCUGGUAGAUCAUAACCAGCCAGAAGCUGCGUGAAAGAACCGUCCCUCGUGGGUUUUAGCUGCUGGCUGAUUGUCAGCUGAGAGCUACAAGUUCUGGUUUGAUAAAAGCCAGCUAUAGAGAUUUCAAACCUUCUUUUUUUUUUUUUUCCAUUUGUGCUCUGAAAUUGUCGCGUCCUCCAAAUGGAACUCCGCAAGCAAGCGGGCCUUUGUUCUGCCUUCUUAGGCACCCGCAGUAGAGUCCUCCCUAGACAGUCAGGCUGCAGGGUGGCCAGUGGGGUGAUGUGGGAGGAGAGGGACUGGACCCGAGAAGCUACACUGUGCCCGGUGGCCCAUGUGUGACCCUGGGUGAGGAUGGACCUGGCAAAGACAGUUUCCUGAACGUCUGAGAGACAGGCUCUGACUCUGGUUGGGUUUUGUGACAGCUGGUGGGAGGGGAGGAUGGGCCUGUAAGUUAGAGUCAGAAUUUAUUGACAGAAGCCCCCUGAAAUGAAAUGAGUCAUCAGCUCCCUGGGCCAGGCAUGAGAUCCCAAUCUUUAACUGUCUCAAGACUCACAAAUGUUCCCAGAGGCCAGAAGUCAAGAAUUCCCUUCUCUGAGACACGGUGUGGAACUCAGAGCUCGGUGGAUUUCAGGAGGUCGGCAAGAGGCAGCGGGGCGGCAGGAAUUCUGUGCGACGGUGUGCUUUAAAUUCCGAUGCUGAGGGGCUGUCAUGUGCAAUGCAUCAACGAUGAAAAAGAAACACCCAGCAGAAGCUGGCUUGGAGUGAAGGCGAGUGCGCAGUAAAUUUCAACUGGGUAAAUUAAUCGCUCGCUGCUUGUUGUGAAUAUUAAUCCCUGGGAGGGAGCUGGCUUCAUCCCAAUCAAAAGACAGGUGAAAACUGAAAAACAGCAAAACAUUUGGGAUCUUUCGAAGGAAGGCUUACCCGUGAGCCAAAUGGUGGUGCUGAGUCCCAGGAAGAAGCAGAAUCUGCAAAACUGCCCCUCCUGCUUCCAGGCACAGCUGUCUGGAUUGCCAGCUCACCCCGCCCUUGGGCCUCAUCUGUCCCCUCUGGGGCCCUUCAGGGACUUGUAUGAGAAAGGCCUGGCCUGAGGCUAUGGAAGAUGCAAGAGCCAAGACUCCUAAUUUGUUUGGGUUUUUUUUUUUCUGGUAGUAAAAUAUACAUAAAAUUUACUGUUUUAGCCAUUUCCAGUUCAGUGACAUUAAGUGCAUUCACAAUACUGUGCAACCA